rnacentral:rRNA from 1 species
UACGAAGGGGGGCUAGCGUUGCUCGGAAUUACUGGGCGUAAAGCGCACGUAGGCGGCUUUCUAAGUCGGGGGUGAAAUCCUGGAGCUCAACUCCAGAACUGCCUUCGAUACUGGAAAGCUCGAGUCCGGGAGAGGUGAGUGGAACUGCGAGUGUAGAGGUGAAAUUCGUAGAUAUUCGCAAGAACACCAGUGGCGAAGGCGGCUCACUGGCCCGGUACUGACGCUGAGGUGCGAAAGCGUGGGGAGCAAACAGGG